AUUGAACGCUGGCGGCAGGCCUAACACAUGCAAGUCGAGCGGAUGAAGGGAGCUUGCUCCUGGAUUCAGCGGCGGACGGGUGAGUAAUGCCUAGGAAUCUGCCUGGUAGUGGGGGAUAACGUCCGGAAACGGGCGCUAAUACCGCAUACGUCCAGAGGGAGAAAGUGGGGGAUCUUCGGACCUUACGCUAUCAGAUGAGCCUAGGUCGGAUUAGCUAGUUGGUGGGGUAAAGGCCUACCAAGGAGACGAUCCGUAACUGGUCUGAGAGGAUGAUCAGUCACACGGGAGCUGAGACACGGUCCAUACUCCUACGGGAGGCAGCAGUGGGCAAUAGUGGGCAAUAGGCGAGAGCCUGAUCCAGCCAUGCCGCGUGUGUGAAGAAGGUCUUCGGAGUGGGAAGCACUUUAAGGUGUGAUGAAGGGCAGUAGGUUGAGACCUUGCUUGUUUGACGUUACCAACUGAAUAAGCACCGGCUAACUACGUG
rnacentral:rRNA from 1 species